UUUCAUUUUUACUUGUAUUUUUAGUCCUUAUAAAAUGUAAAUUCGAAUUGAAAAGAAAACUGAAAAGAAAAACUGAAAUUAAAGAAAAUUAUUUCCACAUUUUUUUGGCGUUCUUUUUUAUUUUCCUUCUGUUUUCCCUUUCUUUUCUUUUACUUUUUCUUUUCCGACACUUCUUUCUUCUUCUCCCUUCGCUAUUUCCCCCUACUCUGUUGCAACUUCCGUCACCAUAUUACCGUCCCGCCACCUUCAAUCAGCCAUCAGUCAUCGAGCCCACUAGCCUAACGACCCAAAUCAACGCUUGAGACAGCUAAGAGGAGUAGCUGCUCCAAUGGCAUUUGUCUCCCAACACGUUCAUACAAGAAACACAUCCUCACUGUACACAUGGUAUCUUUAUACUCCCAUCGAGUAUUUUCAAAGAUGUUGAUUUUUACACGAAUUGUUUGUUUCAUAAAUAAUUACUAACUCAAGAAAUAUACUAACUUUUUAGGUGUCUUUCUAUUUUUAUGAUGAACGAAGUUACUAUGAGAAAAGAUUAAGAAGUAUGAAAAUAUAGUCGCUUGAGAAUUCGAUCUAUUGGGUUUGGCUUGUGCUUGGAUCUAUUAGGUUUGGCCCGUGCUUCUGAAUACACAUUCUUCGUCUUUGCAUUCCUGGAGGGUAUGACACCCUUGAACCUAUAUGCUGAGGAUGAAUUUCAUCAUUCUGCUUGAGCUGGGGCUGGAGGUGUCAAAAGAAUUACAAAUUAUGCUCCGGUAAAAUAUAUGCUGGAUGAUCAUAAUAAUCUCGUUUUGAAAUCGUUAAACAGAGCAAGGAACAGAGGGUUCUCUUAUGCCUUAUACCUUGAUUCGAUGAAUAAGCGAUAUAUUGAAGAGUUCUCUUCUUGUAAUGUCUUCAUUUUGAAGGUUAAAGAAUGUCCAAUUCCAUUUGAAGAAUUACUUGAUGCUGACGAAGUUUUCUGCACAGUGUAGGUGCUACCUGGAGACUACAAGCAGGAUCAAUGAUUGUCAUCUUUGGGUUGGAGCAAUAGGAUUAGUUGUAUGAUCUUCCACAUGAUAGAAUAGAAGGAUUUGCUGCAUAUCUAAUUCAUGAUGAUGAAUAGUUAUAUUUUUUUAGGUGCAUAAUAAUAGAUAUAGAGCAUGCUUGCUAUGAUCUUUUAAAUUUAGAUGUAAUGAUACUUUGUAAAUGGUUUUUAUUUUUGUUUUGGUGAAAUAUUUUGAAUUCAA